rnacentral:rRNA from 1 species
AGCAGCCGCGGUAAUUCCAGCUCCAAUAGCGUAUAUUAAAGUUGUUGCAGUUAAAAAGCUCGUAGUUGAAUUUCGGAGUUCUAUCGUUGGUCGGGCUAUUGUCUGUACUGGCGUGUAGAAUUUCUACCUUCUGGGGAACUAUCAUGUUAUUAAUUUAGCGUGGUAGGAAAUCAGGACCUUUACGUUGAAAAAUUAGAGUGUUCAAAGCAGGCUUAUGUCUGAAUACAUUAGCAUGGAAUAAUAAAAUAGGACAGUGGUCCUGUUUUGUUGGUUCUGAAUCACCGUAAUGAUUAAUAGGGAUAGUUGGGCAUUAGUAUUCAAUUGUCAGAGGUGAAACUCUUGGAUUUAUUGAAGACUAACUACUGCGAAAGCAUUUGCCAAGGAUGUUUCAUUAAUCAAGAACGAAAGUUAGGGAUCGAAGACAAUCAGGUACCGUCGUAGUCUUAACCAUAAACUAUGCCGACUAGGGAUUGAACGAUGUUAACUUUUCUUGACUUGUUCGGCGCCUUAUGGGAAACCA